UCCUUAUUCCCUUUUUUGUUGAGGCGGUCCUAAAUCCUUAUUCAAGGUUUGCAGUCUCUGUUCCGAGUCUCUCGUUUUCAUCGUCUCCUCUCUCGCAUUCCUCUGCGAAAAUCCAACUCUCUCCCAAGUUCCAACAACUUCACAGCCUUUUCCCUCCAACCCAUCUCUCAAAUAGGCGAUUUGAUAGAUUCUGAUUUGGGUAUCCAUUAAACCCUGAAGACAGGUUGGACCACAAGGAUUUUGUUUGUGGGUAGAAGGAAAUUGAGUUGUUCGAUGGUAAACAAGAUGGGUUUUUCUCAAUUUGUAAUUUGGGGUCUCAAUGGGGUGUCUAGAUGGGAGCUGUCAUCCUCCUGGAACUUUGUUUGCGAGUAUCAGUCACAGAGACUCAGGGUUUGUUAUUUCAUCAAAUUCUCCAGAUUCUCGUUUGCGAGAGAGAGGGUUCAAGCGCGAGCUUUACAAAUUUUAGGAAUAAAAUUGUGACCAUCAUAUCCGUUUUCAAAGAUCUGAUGAUCCCUAUAUGAACAGGACUAUUGUUCGGUACAUUGGUGUACCGGAAUUCUCUUAGGCCAUGGCUAGGGUUUUGAUAUCUGGGAGUGCCUAGUGCGAGCCACCAUGAAGAGGGAGCAGCAUCAUCGAUGCGGUGCUGCCGUCGCUAGUCCGUAACACGAAUAUUGAUAUGAUCUUGCAGGCCGCCGGUGAGAUUCAGACUGAGGAUCCGAAUGUCGCCAUAAUCUGUAUGUAUUCACGUUGACUUUACAUGUUGUAAGUCUCGGACAGUGUUUCGGUGAAGUUUCUUGGUCGUCUAAAUCUAUUUCUUUUGCAAAUUUUUUGGGGUUACAAGAACAGAAUAAUACUCUUUCACGUUGUGUUUGAGCUGGAAAAUCUGCUGUCAAUGACUUGAAUGGGGAACCCGUUUACAAAAAUAUGGUUUUAUGUGGGCGAUGAUUUCGGAUUUGGUCAAUGACAUAUGUUUAAACAAACACUAGCCUCUUUAAUGGAUAAUGAUUUUCAAUUUGGGCUUCUCACCCAUAGAUAUGAAUUUGGAAGGAAUAUCUUAUGAAACUAGUAAUGGGUUCUUGCCCUUGUGUGCAUGAGUUUAAGCAGAUCACAGUACAUGUAUGGAAGUAUGGAAAUUUUGAACAUUAUACAAUAAAAGAGGCUUUUGUUUGUCUAAACAUGUGUCAUUGCGCAGGACUUGUGUAUGAGUUCUCUUUGCUUUGCAGAAAUUAGACAUUUCUUUUUUGUCUUAUUUACAUGUGGUCUUGGACGUGUAUUCGGUACAAUUUUUGGUCGUGCAAGUGUAAUUUUAAGCUGCAUUCAGACCAUUGUCAGCUAUCUUUAUGCUCAAAUGUAGGCCUGGCUGCUGAGUCAAAAAGUGGAAGGUAGUAAUAUUCUAUAAGUAUACAGGCUGAUAGCAUGUCAAGCUUGUAUUUCUGUGGUUUUUCAUUUAAUGGGCUCCUGUUGGGGAUUCUGUUUUUGCUCACCUGAUAGAACUCUUCCGAUUUUCUUAUAUGUUACGAACUUAGAGUUUUCUUUUGAUACCUAAACAAUUGCAGAAGUGGGGUGGAUUUUCUGUGAUCUCUUCUUCCUGCUGCUGCUGAAAUAUGUUCUGAUUUCGACCCUACUGUAAAUGUAGACUCAUUACUUCAGAAAUUAUUUCGCAACUUGUGGUUCUAUAUGGCGCUUUUUGGUCUAGCACCUCCUAUACAAAAGGUUUCCUUUUGGCAUUGUUUAUAUGUAUUUGGCACAAUCCCUGGUCGUGCAAGUGUAAUUUUACGCAUUUUUUAUGUGUGUUCCUGCAAACAGCUUAAUGUUGUGGUUUUGUGCUUUGGCUGAAAAUCUGGUGUCCGUAAUUUGAAUUGGGAAUCAAUUUACAAAAAUAUGGUUCAUGUGGGCUAUGAUUUUGGAUUUGGUCAAUGACAUAUGUUUACACAAACACUAGCCUCUUUAAUGCAUAAUGAUUUUCAGUUUGGGCUUGUCACCCAUAGAUAUGAAUUUGAAAGGAAUAUCUUAUGAAGCUAGCAAUGGGUUUUUGCCCUUUGCCUGCAUAUAGGCAUGACCACGGUGCAUGUACGGAAGUUUUGAACAUUAUGCAAUAAAAGAGGCUUUUGUUUGUCUAGACAUGCGUUUCUGGACAGAACUUAUGUAGGUGUUCUAUUUGCUUUGUGCAAAUUAGACAUUUCUUUUUUUGCCUUAUUUACAUGUGGAAGUUUUGGACGGGGUAUUCAGUACAAUUUUUGGUCAUGCAACUGUGAUUUUUUGCGUUGUUUUUUGUUGAUCCCGAUGUACAACUUAAUGUUGUGCUUGAGCUGGAAAUCUGGUGUCCGUGACUUGAAUAGGGAACCCGUUUACAAAAAUAUGGUUCAUGUGGGCGAUGAUUUCGGAUUUGGUCAAUGACAUAUGUUUACACAAACACUGGCCUCUUUAAUGGAUAAUGAUUUUCAGUUUGGGCUCUUCACCCAUAGAUAUGAAUUUGAGCGGAAUGUCUUAUGAAACUAGCAAUGGGUUCUUGCCCUUUCGUGCACAAUUUUUUAUCACAGUGCAUGUAUGGAAGUAUGGAAGUUUUGAACAUUAUACAAUAAAAGAGGCUUUUGUUUGUCUAGACAUGUGUCUUUGGCCAGAACUUAUGUAUAAGUUCUCUUUGCUUUGCAGAAAUUAGACAUUUUUUUGGGUCUUAUUUACACUUGGAAGUCUUGGACAUGUAUUCGGUACAAUUUUUGGUCGUGCAAGUGUUAUUUUAAGCUGCGUUCAGACCAUCGUCAGCUGUCUUUAUGCUCAGAUGUAGGCCUGGCUGCUGAGUCAAAAAGUGGAAGGUAGUAAUAUUCUAUAAGUAUACAGGCUGAUAGCAUGUCAAGCUUGUAUUUCUGUGGUUUUUCAUUUAAUGGGCUCCUGUUGGGGAUUGUGUUUUUGCUCACCUAAUAGAACUCUUCUGAUUUUCUCAUAUAUGUUACGAAUUUAGAGUUUUGUUUUGAUACCUAAACAAUUGCAGAAGUGGGGUGAUUUUCUGUGAUCUCUUCUUCCUGCUGUUGCUGAAAUAUGUUCUGAUUUCGACCCUACUGUAAAUGUAGACUCAUUACUUCAGAAAUUAUUUCGCAACUUGUGGUUCCAUAUUGCGCCUUUUGGUCUAGCAUCUCCUAUACAAAAGGUUUCCUUUUUGCAUUGUUUACGUGUAUUCGGCACAAUUCCUGGUCGUGCAAGUGUAAUGUUACUAAUUUUUUAUGUGGGUUCCCGCAAACAACUUAAUGUUGUGCUUUGGCUGGAAAUCUGGUGUCCGUAAUUUUAAUUGGGAACCAAUUUUCAAAAAUGUGGUUCAUGUGGGCGAUGAUUUUGGAUUUGGUCAAUGACAUAUGUUUACACAAACACUAGCCUCUUUAAUGCAUAAUGAUUUUCAAUUUGGGCUUGUCACCCAUAGAUAUGAAUUUGAAAGGAAUAUCUUAUGAAACUAGCAAUGGGUUCUUGCCCUUUGCGUGCAAAAGUUUAAGCAUGACUACAGUGCAUGUAUGGAAGUAUGGAAGUUUCGAACAUUAUGCAAUAAAAGAGGCUUUUGUUUGAGAGAGGACUUAUGUAUGAAUUCUCUUUGCUUUGCAGAAAUUAGACGUUUCUUUUUUAUCUUAUUUACAUGUGGAAGUCUUGGACGUGUAUUCGGUACAAUUUUUGUUGUGCAAGUGUAAUUUUAAGCUGCGUUCAGACUAUUGUCAGCUGUCUUUGUGCUCAGAUGUAGGCCUGGCUGCUAAGUGAAAACGUGAAAGGUAGUAAUAUUCUAUAAGUAUUAUGGCUGAUAGCAUUUCAAGCUUGUAUUUCUGUAGUUUUUCAUUUAAUGGGCUCCUGUUGGGGAUUUUGUUUUUGCUCACCUAGUAGAACUCUUUCGAUUUUCUUAUAUAUGUUACGAAUUUGGAGUUUUCUUUUGAUACCUAAACAAUUGCAGAAGUGGGGCGGAUUUUCUGGGAUCUCUUCUUCCUGCUGUUGUUGAAAUAUGUUCUGAUUUUGACCCUACUGUAAAUGUGGACUCAGUACUUCAGAAAUUAUUUUGCAACUUGUGGUUCCAUAUUGCGCCUUUUGGCCUAGCACCUCCCAUACAAAAGGUUUUCUUUUUGCAUUGUUUACGUGUAUUCGGCACAAUUCCUGGUCGUGCAAGUGUAGUUUUACGCAUUUUUUAUGUGGGUUCUCGCAAACAGCUUAAUGUUGUGCUUUGGCUGAAAAUCUGGUGUACGUAAUUUGAAUUGGGAGCCAAUUUACAAAAAUAUGGUUCAUGUGGGCGAUGAUUUCGGAUUUAGUCAAUGACAUGUAUUUACUCAAACACCUCUUCAAUGCAUAAUGAUUUCAAAUUUGGGCUUGUCACCCAUAGAUAUGAAUUUGAAGGGAAUAUCUUAUGAAACUAGCAAUGGGUUCUUUCUAUUUGCAUGCAUAAGUUUAAGCAUAACCACAGUGCAUGUAUGGAAGUACGGAAGUUUUGAACAUUAUGGAGGCUUUUGUUUGUCUAGACAUGUGUCUUUGGGCAGGACUUAUGUAUGAGUUCUCUUUGCUUUGCACAAAUUAGACAUUUCUUUUUUUUUGUCUUAUUUACAUGUGGAAGUCUUGGACAUGUAUUCGACUAUUCGGUACAAUUUUUGGUCGUGCAAGUGUAAUUUUAAACUGCAUUCGGACUAUCCUUAGCUGUCUUUGUGCUCAGAUGUAGGCCUGGCCGCUGAGACAAAAAGUCGAAGGUAGUAAUAUUCUAUAAGUAUACUGGCUGAUAGCAUGUCAAGCUUGUAUUUCUGUGGUUUUUCAUUUAAUGGGCUCCUGUUGGGGAUUUUGUUUUUGCUCACCUAAUAGAACUUGUCUGAUUUUCUUAUAUAUGUUACGAAUUUGGAGUUUUCUUUUGAUACCUAAACAAUUGCAGAAGUGGGGUGGAUUUUCUGGGAUCUCUUCUUCCUGCUGUUGCUGAAAGAUGUUCUGAUUUCGACCCUACUGUAAAUGUGGACUCAUUACUUCAGAAAUUAUUUCACAACUUGUGGUUCUAUAUUGCGCUUUUUGGCCUAGCACCUCUUACACAAAAGGUUUCCUUUUUGUAUUGUUUACGUGUAUUUGGCACAAUUCCUGGUCGUGCAAUGUGCAAGUGUAAUUUGAUGCAUUCUUUAUGUGGGUUCUCGCAAACAGCUUAAUGUUGUGCUUUGGCUGGAAAUCUGAUAUCCGUAAUUUGAAUUGGGAACCAAUUUAGAAAUAUAUGGUUCAUGUGGGCGUAAUUUGAAAAAAAUAUGUUGUGCUUUGGCUGGAAAUCUGGUAUCUGUAAUUUGAAUUGGGAACCAAUUUACAAAAAUAUGGUUCAUGUGGGCGAUGAUUUCGGAUUUGGUCAAUGACAUAUGUUUACACAAACACUAGCCUCUUCAAUGCAAACGGUUUUCAAUUUGGGCUUGUCACCCUUAGAUAUGAAUUUGAAAGGAAUAUCUUAUGAAACUAGCAAUGGGUUCUUGUGCUUUGUGUGCAUAAGUUUAAGCAUGACCACAGUGCAUGUAUGAAAGUAUGGAAGUUGAGAACAUUAUGCGAUAAAAGAGGCUUUUGUUUGUCUAGACAUGUGUCUUCGGGCAGGACUUAUGCACGAGUUCUCUUCGCUUUGCACAAAUUAGACAUUUGUUUUUUUGUCUUAUUUACAUGUGGAAGUCUUGAACGUGUAUUCGGUACAAUUUUUGGUCAUGCAAGUGUAAUUUUAAGCUGCGUUCAGACUAUUGUCAGCUGUCUUUGUGCUCAGAUGUAGGCCUGGCUGCUGAGUCAAAAAGUGGAAGGUAGUAAUAUUCUGUAAGUAUACAGGCUGAUAGCAUGUCAAGCUUCUGUCGGGGAUUUUGUUUUUGCUCACCUAAUAAAACUCUUCCGAUUUUCUUAUAUAUGUUACGAAUUUGGAGUUUUCUUUUGACACCUAAACAAUUGCGGAAGUGGGGCGGAUUUUCUGGGAUCUAUUCUUCCUGCUGUUGCUGAAAUAUGUUCUAAUUUUGACCCUACUGUAAAUGUGGACUAAGUACUUCAGAAAUUAUUUCGCAACUUAUGGUUCUAUAUUGUGCUUUUUGGCCUAGCACCUCUUAUACAAAAGGUCCAGCCAUCAGCAAAAGCGAUAUCUACCAACCUAAACAGUAUAGGAAGCAUGGGAACGAUUACUCUUCAAGCGGUGGGUGGACCUUACUUGUGGAACAUACAGUUGUCUUCUGCUGUCCAGCGUAUUGCGCAAGGCACUCCGCCCCGCUUGUAACUGCACAGCUAAUGGUGCUUGUUGACACCAAUAAUUAGUAUCUUUUCUUUGUUUGCUUUCGUGGCUUGCAUAAUUUCAUUUUUCAGAUUUUCUAACAAUCUGUAGAAAUAGGCCUAAAGACAUUUCUGUGUUCUGGUCAUUCUUGAUAUCAUAUUGUCCUAACUAGUGCAUUCUAUCCAUGGCUGUGUUAAUUAAUCAGAAACGUAAAUGUAGUUUAUGAAGACUUGGUGAUCUUUUAGUCUUGUAAAACAUUUUUUUAAGCAUUAAAGAAUUACUAUAUUUUUUAUUGAUCGUGAGUCUUUUUUUUUAUUAUUGUUCGUCUGAAUUGUUGCAUGCAAUUUAUUGAUAAAAUUACUGUGUCUGCAGAGUGCAGAGUGCAGAGUAAUUAGUAUCACCCUGUAUGGAGCCAGAUGGAGAACUAUGCAUUGGGAAGAGAUAAGCAGAAGCAACUACUUUUGAUGCUCAGCCAGCAUGAGGCUGAUAGGCUCGAAGUUUGGUCACAAUCCACUGACACAAAGGAUAUAUCUUCUCGGCCAAAAAUCGGCUUAGAUAAAUGGUUGAAUAUGCUAGGACAGCCUUCUCCGUGGAUCCAAGAGUUGCUUUAUCCUUGGCGUCAAGGUUUCCUGCCAAUGCUACUUUGAAGGCUGAAGUAACUAAUCUGGUGCAGAUUCACCAUCUCAACAUUAACUUUGCAAAAAUGGUAUUGAUUCGCAGAAGGGAUAUGACACAUGUAUUGGAAUCUGCUGCAUACCUGAAACUUUGCCAUAUUUCGUCACUCCCAAUGCAGUUGAUGAAAACUCAGUGCUUUUGCAACAAUUAGUGCAUUGGGCUGCUUGUUCUAAGCUGCUAGAAACAAUAAUGGAAAAGCUACACAUUCGGCAUGGAGGAAUUACGAUGAUUUCAAUGAAUAUUUCUGGCACUUGCUUGCUUUAAGCUGAGCUGAGGAAAGAUUCACCAUUUUUGUUAAAACACGAAAAAGGGUGAGUCUUACUUAUCAUUCAUACAAUUGUUUGAAUCUGC